GACCUAGUGGUGUACGGCUCACACCUGCUCUUCUUGACAGCUCGAGCUCUGAGUCUCAGGAUGAUAUGUGCAGCAGGAGGCCCCGGUUCGAUUCCGGGCUAGGUCA